GUAACAUAUACAAUGUGAUUUAUAUUUUUGUUAUUAUGUGUUUAUUAUAAAUUUUGUCCGUUAAAAAAUGCAAUGUAUUGAUUUAUCACAUCAUUAUUUAAAUAUGUAAUAAAAAAAAUAAUACAUAUAUAUAUAUAUAUAUAUAUAUAUAUAUAUAUAUAUAUUUUUAAAGCAUUGUAUUAUACUUCGUAAAGAAUCUGUGUAUGUUGCAAUUGAAUAUGUGAUAACAUUUUGUGCUCGUUUAAUACAUAUUGUUAAAUAAAAUGCAUUUGUAAUAUUAUACUUUUUUACUUUAUUUAUAUAUUCAAAAAAAAAAAAAAACACAAUUUAACAUUUAUAAUAUUAUAAUUUUUUACUUACUUUAUUUAUAUAAUCGAAAAAAAAACACAAUUUUGCAUUUAUAAUAUUAUACUUUUUUUACUUUAUUUAUAUAAUCGAAAAAAAACAGAAUUUAACACAAUGGCAGAAGGAAAUCCAUUAGCAAAUGCAAAUGUACCACUAAAUUUGAGUGAUACACAAAAUCUGAGCAAUGGCGAAUCCUCUGUAAUGCAACUUGCGAGAAGCAUUUUAAACACACCUCUAAAUACUACUAGUAAUGAAGAAUUGAACCACGGAAAUAUGACGGUUUUUUUUUUAUUUUUGGCAGUUCUUAUAAUUUUUAUGUAUACAUAUCUAAUUGUUUUACGUUGCCUAGAUCGAUUUUUUUAUGGACAACACAAUGGAAACAAUAUGCCAGUUUUAUUUAAUAGAAAUGGUGGGCAAAACGGAGGAGGAGGAGAGGGAAAUGCUCUACUACCUGAGGAUUUUUAUGAUCGUCAUAGAGGAUAAUAAAAUGGACAUUUCUAAGCAUACAGUAAACAUAAUGAUGUAUUUAAUUAACAUUUUGUUAUAAAUGUCACUACUAAAAAUGAAACUUGACAAACCAACAUGAUCGUACAUUAAUAUCAGGAAAGGACAACAGUUUAUACAAAAACUUAUAAGUAUAUAGUAGUGAUACAUCAAAUUAGCAAUUUUUAUAUUAUAUUAGUACAUGCAAAGUUUUGUAAAAAAAAAAAAAAAAAAAAAAAAAAAAUUAUAUGAAUAUUGGAUAUAAUUGUGGUUUAUUAUGUUUGCUCAUGGUUAUUAUUACAGGAAUGUUUGAUCAUUUUGUGUUGAUUAUAGUUUCACUUUGUGAAUAUAUGUCCAGCACAAAAUUAUCAUUAUUUUAAAUAGUUUUUUUUUAUUUUUAUAUUUUAUUUUUGCUGUGUUUGAAUUUGUUAGGAUUGUUGUUCACUAAUUUAAUUUUUGCAUCAAUUGAAGGUGAGUUCAUUUAUGUUCUAUUUUAUUUUAUUUUAUUAUUUUUUUUUUUUUUUCUAUGCUACAUUAAUUGAGUUGUGCCAUUUUACAUAUGUUGAAAUGUAUAAUUAAAUGUGAUAACUUUUUUUUUUUUUUUUUCGUUUUGCUUUUUACAUAUAAAAACAAAACUUAUGGUUAUAUAUUAUAAAUAGACGCGAU
rnacentral:lncRNA from 1 species